GUCGAGAAUCUUUCACAAUGGGGGCAACCCUGAUGGAGCGACGCCGCGUGGAGGAUAAGGUCUUCGGAUUGUAAACUCCUGUCAUGCGUGAACAAGGUUGCUUGGUUAAUACCUGGGCAAAUUGAUGGUAACGCAAGAGGAAGAGACGGCUAACUCUGUGCCAUCAGCCGCGGUAAUACAGAGGUCUCAAGCGUUGUUCGGAAUCACUGGGCGUAAAGGGUGCGUAGGAGGCGUGGUAAGUCAGAUGUGAAAGCCCGGGGCUCAACCUCGGAACUGCAUCCGAUACUGCCAUGCUAGAGUACUGGAGAGGUGACUAGAAUUCUCGGUGUAGCAGUGAAAUGCGUAGAUAUCGAGAGGAAUACCAAAGGCGUAGGCAGGUCACUGGACAGUUACUGACACUGAGGCACGAAGGCCAGGGGAGCGAACGGGAUUAGAAACCCUGGUAGUCC
rnacentral:rRNA from 1 species